CAUGAACUGUUGUUUUAUGUCGCAUAAGAGUAUAGUGCAAAAAGCUGGUGAUUCAUAAAGCAUUCUCUUUAUAAGCAUUGAAGAUAUUGGUGAUCAUAAAAAUCAAUGGUAAUUUUUUUUGUCUCUUGGAAAGUACAAUUUUUGAAUUGAUUUUAAAUAACCGGGUUAAUUAAAAGGAUCAAUUGUUUUGAAGAGUGAAACUGAUAGUUUCAUUAUGACUACUUCACCUGAAUAUCGUUAUCUAAAGUUGAUGGAUGAUGAACCUAAUUAUAGCUUCAUCUGCUCUGAUUUGAAUGAAGUAGAAUUUAGAGCAAUUUUGCAAGGUGGUUUUACCUCUACCUAUUCUAGAAAUGAGUUUCGAGGAAAUGUCGUCAACGCAGUCAACUGUCUGGCCAAGUUGGGCUACCGAGUGAUAAGUACACAUCUCAAGGGCGAAUCAAUGAUUUAUUUGUUGGAAAAAUCCAUUGAACAUUCCUAAGUCUAUGAAAAGCUUGAAUUAUUGUUUGAUACUAAUUUUUCUACAUUUUAUAAAAGAAAUAAAAAAAAAUAUCAAUGAAUUAAUUUUGAUAAAGCAAAAAUCUAAA